rnacentral:rRNA from 1 species
UGGGGAAUUUUCCGCAAUGGGCGAAAGCCUGACGGAGCAAUGCCGCGUGGAGGUGGAAGGCCUACGGGUCGUCAACUUCUUUUCUCGGAGAAGAAACAAUGACGGUAUCUGAGGAAUAAGCAUCGGCUAACUCUGAGCCAG